AUUGAACGCUGGCGGCAGGCCUAACACAUGCAAGUCGAACGGUAACAGGAAGAAGCUUGCUUCUUUGCUGACGAGUGGCGGACGGGUGAGUAAUGUCUGGGAAACUGCCUGAUGGAGGGGGAUAACUACUGGAAACGGUAGCUAAUACCGCAUAACGUCGCAAAACCAAAGAGGGGGACCUUCGGGCCUCUUGCCAUCGGAUGUGCCCAGAUGGGAUUAGCUAGUAGGUGGGGUAACGGCUCACCUAGGCGACGAUCCCUAGCUGGUCUGAGAGGAUGACCAGCCACACUGGAACUGAGACACGGUCCAGACUCCUACGGGAGGCAGCAGUGGGGUAUAUUGCACAAUGGGCGCAAGCCUGAUGCAGCCAUGCCGCGUGUAUGAAGAAGGCCUUCGGGUUGUAAAGUACUUUCAGCGGGGAGGAAGGGAGUAAAGUUAAUACCUUUGCUCAUUGACGUUACCCGCAGAAGAAGCACCGGCUAACUCCGUG
rnacentral:rRNA from 1 species